AAUUUAAAAUUUAGAUAGAUCUAUCUAGACUAGUUACUAGAUCUAUAGAAAUUCUCAAUCAAGAUUAUCUAAAUCUAUAUAGAUCAAGAAGAAGAACAGUUUAAAGAAAAUAAUACCAGGGUUAUGCUCCUUUCACCGUUGAGUUCCAGGAUGAAGAAUGAAAGACAGAGAGCAAUGUGAAGACAUAAAAGAAUGUGCAGGUCUGCCAUGAAAUGGUUUAUCCAGGGCUAAGUACAGAGAGGAAUAUAGAAGGGCUGUUGACUGAUCUUGUGUGGUGCCCCCAUGGCUCAACAGACUGAUUGAUAGAAAAUAAUACCAGGGUUAUGUUCCUUUCACUGUUGAGUUCCAGGAUGAAGAAUGAAAGACAGAGAGCAAUGUGAAGACAUCAAAGAAUGUGCAGGUCUGCCAUGAAAUGGUUUAUCCAGGGCUAAGUACAGAGAGGAAUAUAGAAGGGCUGUUGACAGAUCUUGUGUGGUGCCCCCAUGGUUCAACAGACUGAUUGAUAGGUAAUGAAAAUAAUACCAGGGUAAUGGUCCUUUCACUGUUGAGUUCCAGGAUGAAGAAUGAGAAAGACAGAGAGCAAUGUGAAGACAUCAAAGAAUGUGCAGGUCUGCCAUGAAAUGGUUUAUCCAGGGCUAAGUACAGAGAGGAAUAUAGAAGGGCUGUUGACAGAUCUUGUGUGGUGCCCCUAUGGUUCAACAGACUGAUUGAUA